rnacentral:rRNA from 1 species
AUUGAACGCUGGCGGCAGGCCUAACACAUGCAAGUCGAACGGUAACAGGAAACAGCUUGCUGUUUCGCUGACGAGUGGCGGACGGGUGAGUAAUGUCUGGGAAACUGCCUGAUGGAGAGGGAUAACUACUGGAAACGGUAGCUAAUACCGCAUAACGUCGCAAGACCAAAGAGGGGGACCUUCGGGCCUCUUGCCAUCGGAUGUGCCCAGAUGGGAUUAGCUAGUAGGGGGGGUAACGGCCCACCUAGGCGACGAUCCCUAGCUGGUCUGAGAGGAUGACCAGCCACACUGGAACUGAGACACGGUCCAGACUCCUACGGGAGGCAGCAGUGGGGAAUAUUGCACAAUGGGCGCAAGCCUGAUGCAGCCAUGCCGCGUGUAUGAAGAAGGCCUUCGGGUUGUAAAGUACUUUCAGCGGGGAGGAAGGGAGUAAAGUUAAUACCUUUGCUCAUUGACGUUACCCGCAGAAGAAGCACCGGCUAACUCCGUGCCAGCCGCCGCGGUAA